AUUCAUUCCACAAACAUUUCUAAGUGUCCAUGGUGACCCAGACAUCAUGGGAACUUCAGGGUUCCAGAGCUGAGUAGAACACAACUCCCAUCCUUAGGGAUUCACCAUCCAGUAGAGGAGAAAGACGUCGAGACAGAAGACAGAAGGGAAAGGAAAAGCUCAAUGCUGUGCCUUCAACUUAGCUUCUCCAUUUUUUGGAGAAGGGUUAAUAGGGGAAGCAGAGAGAGAGAGAUGAGAGACCAAAGUUUCUAGGGCCUUUAUCUCCAGAGCAGAGGGUCUGAAACCUUAGUGAGCAAAAACUGAUCCGGAAGACUUGUUGGAGGCAUACCUUCCAGUUCAGCGAGCCAUUUCAGCAGAUUGGAGAUCCCCUGCCUGCAGCACGUGCUGAUCUCCAAGGGUGAGGCUGGAUGAAGCCAGGGGCUAUGGAAAGGGAGACUGUUUCAGAGGACUUGACACCAUCUUCAGUAAUUUCUCUGGUUCUUGGCAGCUCCAUUUGGCUGCGUCCCUACCCUGCAUAACCCUCCCAGCUAGUCUACUCCAGGGCAGCAUCCAGCUGGUGACCUGAGAGGGCAGUGGCGCACCAGUCUCCAUGAAGGUUGAGCUCCGAUGGCCAACAGCCAUUUCCACCUUGUGGUCUACAACUCUUCAUCCCGACUGCAUGGAGGUUGGUCUCUCUCUUCAGCUGGAUUUAGGCCACCAUCUGAGCCCCCGGGGUACGUUUUGUCUGACCCUGGCGCCAUUCGAACGGUUCUUCUACAGCAUCAGUUCUCUUUCCUGCCACCAUGUGAAGAAGGACAUGUUUGCUUCCCCUUCUGCCAUGAAUGGACAGGGUCCUGCUGUGUUGCCCAGGCUGGCCUUGAACUCCUGGCUUCAAACAGUCUUCCCACUUGGGCUCCCAAAGUGCUGGGAUUAAAGGGGCGAGUUACAGCACCAGGACCUGAAAUGUUAUACACCCCAUCUUGAUGACAAUGCAUUAAUGGGGAUAAAUACUCCCCAGAAGAGCUUCGGCCUGUCCUGAGAUCUGCAACACAAGGAGUUUUUAACCUGGAAAGUGUGCUUAAUUCUUCUACUGCCUCUUCUUGAGGGCUGCCUAAGUACAGAAUGUUUGGUGUCCUGGAGGGUGCCCAGGCUAACAGUGAGAAUUGGAUAGCUCCAUCAGGGCCUUGGGCACUGGGCCUAUGGAGUAGCCUGUACUUCUUGCUCUUUUCAACACUUGAAGGGAGAGGGGGCCGAGUUCUCUCGCAGAGUUGCUCUAUGGCAGUGGCAGCAGCCAGCUGGAUAUCACGGGAAAAUGCCCGCUCCGUGAAACGGUCAUAUAUGCAAAGUAGCCCCCAAAGGCCAAAAGAGCCAAGAAACCAAAGAACAAGCCACACAAC
rnacentral:lncRNA from 1 species